GUGGUUGUGGCUCAGUGGUAGAGUGCUUGCCAAGCAUGCAUGAGGCUUUGAGUUUGAUCCUGGCACCACA
rnacentral:tRNA from 1 species